rnacentral:rRNA from 1 species
UGGGGAAUAUUGCACAAUGGGCGCAAGCCUGAUGCAGCCAUGCCGCGUGUAUGAAGAAGGCCUUCGGGUUGUAAAGUACUUUCAGCGGGGAGGAAGGGAGUAAAGUUAAUACCUUUACUCAUUGACGUUACCCGCAGAAGAAGCACCGGCUAACUCCGUGCCAGCAGCCGCGGUAAUACGGAGGGUGCAAGCAUUAAUCGGAAUUACUGGGCGUAAAGCGCACGCAGGCGGUUUGUUAAGUCAGAUGUGAAAUCCCCGGGCUCAACCUGGGAACUGCAGCUGAUACUGGCAAGCUUGAGUCUCGUAGAGUGGGGUAGAAUUCCAGGUGUAGCGGUGAAAUGCGUAGAGAUCUGGAGGAAUACCGGUGGCGAAGGCGGCCCCCUGGACGAAGACUGACGCUCAGGUGCGAAAGCGUGGGGAGCAAACAGG